GAGCCAUGAGGAUAACUGUGCUCUUGUGAUGGAUGGGUCUGUCACUAUCAUUUGAUUUCGGAUGAUUAAACAGCACAACUGAGUUU